CACGUAGGGCGCAAGCGUUGUCCGGAAUUAUUGGGCGUAAAGAGCUCGUAGGUGGUUUGUUACGUCUGCUGUGAAAACCUAGGGCUUAACCCCGAGCCUGCAGUGGAUACGGGCAGACUAGAGGUAGGUAGGGGAGAAUGGAAUUCCCGGUGUAGCGGUGAAAUGCGCAGAUAUCGGGAGGAACACCGGUGGCGAAGGCGGUUCUCUGGGCCUGACCUGACGCUGAGGAGCGAAAGCGUGGGGAGCGAACAGG
rnacentral:rRNA from 1 species